AGCAAUAGUUUGAAAUUGUAUGAAUAAUCAAACUUAUUAAUAUAUAUGAGUAAUGGGUCAUGUUAAAACUUAGUCCCUAAUCCUUCACGAUCUACAGCAGUUUAUAUGGAAACUGUCUCCUCUAAAAUCCACAGCCAGUUGUGGGGAGAUUUUGCCAUCCAAUGUCGCGGGACCCUUCAAAAACUAAAUGAAUGAGGGAAAUGAGUCACUCAUUCAAUUAUUCAUUGGAAGAAUCAGCUGAGUACCCAAAUGUGCCAGGCACUAUGCUGAGCACUUUGGAUAAAAACUCUUAAGACCUGGCUAUGCCUUAAUGCAGUACUGUUACUUGAACGGACAGAAAUCUGGAAGGAUCCGCCUGCUUAAAAGGUUAGGAAUGAUAAGCAAGAUGGGAAAUUACUUGAAUAUUCCAGAUAUGCAUACUCAGGGGGAAGUUAGCCACAAAAGGAGGGGUGGAUACAGAGAGGUAUGUAACUUUACACAAUUAUGACAAAUUAGAUGAUUCAACAAUAGAAACAGGAAAUGGGAACUAACCCUUUACCCAUCUCCUCAGUUACAGCCACAUAAGACAGAAAGGAGGGUGAGUCACACUGAGCAGUCUUGGUAGCCCAGCCUGGAUGAGGAUGCAUUGACUAAAAGAUCAGAACAUUCACAGAGCAAGAAGGAAGAAACAUCACAGAAUUGACACUCAACUGAGGAACGGCCAGGCAUCAAAAUAAGCAAAUGGGAUCUGGAAAAAUGCCCCUGGAUCCAUAAACCAAGAAAUCUCAGCUGCGAGUCUUAGAGCUGUGAAGUGGAUUUUUCAGGAAACUAUGCACAUAGCCUGUCACGACUAGCGGUUAAAUAGUUGGGAAAACAGCCCCCAUCUGUAGGACACCCCUGCAGUACAUGAAGUUGGAACAUCACACUCUGUAACACCAGACUCUGCAAGGAUGUGAUGAGAAAAGCGAGAUACCUGCAUCUAUGGACCUGGGGAUUUAAAGUGGCUCUAUGAAUCUUCCAGCAUGUUCGCAAACAAGUUGGAGCUGCAGACAUAUCCACUUACUGUGGAAUGCCUAGAACUGAGGAUUUGAGAGAAAACUCUGAAUCAGGGUGAAGUCCCAGUGGAACCAGACUGGUAUUUGCUCCAAGAGUAAGAGCUACUUCAAAGAAAAUAUAAAAUAUCAACAAUAAAAAAACUAAUAACUCUUAUUUUGGAA